rnacentral:rRNA from 1 species
CCGCCGCGACCGGCGCACGGGUGAGUAACACGUAUGCAACCUGGCCGUGACAGAUGGAUAACCGGGAGAAAUCCCGCCUAAUACAACAUAAUGCCGGGAGGGGACAUCCCCUGCCGGCCAAAGGGGGCGACCCCGGUCACGGAUGGGCAUGCGGCGCAUUAGGUAGUUGGUGGGGGCAACGGCCCACCAAGCCGACGAUGCGUAGGGGUUCUGAGAGGAAGGUCCCCCACAUUGGAACUGAGACACGGUCCAAACUCCUACGGGAGGCAGCAG